rnacentral:misc_RNA from 1 species
AAAUUUCUCAACUUUGAGCGGGAGUUGUAAAAAGACUCUGGCUUGAAGCUUGGACUGUGGAGUGUGCUGGCCGCGCCCCCCCUUUGCUCAGGGGUUGCUAGCUCCUCUGAAAAGUAUUAGCGAAAAAACCUGAUCGAACUGGUCAAGCUUUUCAGCUGGCAUUGAUAGUUGAUGUCCAUGCCUUUACGCUGGUUGGCGUCAGUCCUUUCACUUCUCUUUCGCUCACAGCCCCCCCCUGUUUGCUUUGCCAGACAAUGAUUUUCAACAU